AGGUCGUUGGAGUACACCAUUCAUAACCAUGAACUCACUGAUACAAGGAAAAAGUUGGAUGAGUUGUCAGACCGAAGAGAGAACAGUGGUGAGAGAUCUAAACAUCUUAGGGACAGACAUGAACUUGCAGUUCAAAAAGUCAAGGAAAUUCAGAAAGGCACACGUGAGAUC